CCUCCACAGCCCUCUGUAGUCGAACUUCCGCCCUUCCGCUCUGCCCUCAGGCUGCGGGACCGCUCGGGCCGCUGAGGCCCCGCUGCACCCCCGGCCCGCGCCCGGGGAGACAGCGAGGCAGCACCAGAGGGCACCAGGAACCGCGCUGGGAGCAGGGCCGCUGACAGGCAGCGAGCGCGGAGGGCUCUGUGGUUCCGCGUCCGGCCGCUGAGGUGAUACUGUGAGCACAUGAAUAGUGUGCAGGGAGUCUUAGCUGCCUCUGUGAUUUCCAUCCAGAAUUCCUGCUUCAUCUAUCCUGCCUGUCAAAACUGCUUUUCUAGGCUGAUACUGGAUUCCAGGAGGUUCAACUGUCUAAAGUGUGGCUGCACAGGUGAAGCUAAAGAUGCAAGCUACAGAUAUAGAUUGUCCCUAAAGAUUGCUGACAUUGCUGAUUUGUUUGACAUCACUGUUUUUGGAAGUUGCUUAGAUCCAUUCUUUGGGGUCACCGCAGAAAAUCUGCAGAGGUAUCUUCAAGACUUUAACCAGCUGUCAGGAGAAACAAACACAGAGUCAUCUACAAGAGCACUAGUUCAAGCAGUGGAAACCUGUUUCAUUGGAAAAAGGUUUCUAUUUGGAGUGAAGGGUUGUGCAAGGGAAGAUGGAGGGCAUUCUGCUGCCAGCAGCAUCUUGCAGAAGUGUUCCAGAAUCAAUAGAAGUACGAAAAACCUCAUAGCGUGCCAGAUUUUCCCGCCAAAUGCUGCUGUUACUGGCUUUACUGUUAUCAGCUACUUAGAUCGUCUCCUGCAGUCGGCAAAAUUCAGGAGCUGUAAUAACAGCUCAUAUUUACCUGAUGUGUCAUCAACUCCCAUAGAUGAACCUCUCAGUGAGCUCAGCAGCUUGUCUAGCCUGAGCAGGAGCUCCUGUUUUGUUCAGUCUAGUGGCAGGGAAAGUUUUUUAGGGUGCUGGCAGCAAUCCUUGAGUCUGACUUCAUCUGUUGCUUGGGUAACAGCGGAAGACUUUCCCACUCUGGAAGUGGGAAAGCUGGUUAGUGAACAGCAUGAACAAGAGGAGAGGCCUGUCUCUGCAGAAUUGGGCAGUGUAAGCCUCAACAAUCAAACUCUUUGGGACUCACAGUUCCUGAUCUCUUCUGUGAAGGAAGGGGAUAAAGAGAAGGAUAAUGAAUCAAGUUCACAGCUUAGUCGGACUGACGGUAUCUCUGCAACUGAUAAAUUGGAGAGAGUUUCCUCUUCAAACACCGAGUGUUCACAUGGAAACAGUUCCAAGUUGUUACAGCAUCCCUUGGAAUCUGAGGUAAAAAACUAUUACCCAAAAACUAAUAGUAGAAAUUAUUGUUACUCAGAAAAAUCCCACAACUCCCUUGUUUGCAAGAAAGAUGCCUCAGCUCCUAAUCACAUAAAUGUAGCUAGAGUGUCUCAGAUGGACUCUAUGCUUUGGGAAGAGCUCCCAUUCUCAGAAAGCCUAAAUGAAUUGUUAGCCAGAAUAGAGGAUGGCAGGAGUGUUGUAGCAUCACCCAGCCUUGAUGCAGGCAAACACGUCCAUCUUGAAAGUACCAAGUUGGGUGUAAAUCUUAACAAAUCGUAUUCCAGGCAAGCUGUAGGUGAUUUGCCUACAGCCAGUGUCUCAGGAAGGCUUUUGCCACCAGCAGGGAGCAAUAGCUGGGAGACUACAGUGUUUGCUUGCCUUCAGUCAAAUGCAGACCCUCUGAGUGAUGUCUCACAAUAUGAGUCUUCCUCUAGUGAUCUAUCUUCAACCCUCAAGGAAGGUGGAGCAUCCUCGCCAGUUACACCAGAGCCUUCUGUUUCUCAGAGCAGAUGCAUGCAGUCCAAAGAAGCAAAUAGUGACCCUGCAAAUUCAUCUUGGUCUUUUAUUGGGCUGCGUGGAGAAACCUCCUGCUUAAAAAAGAGUAAGACAGCCACCUGUGUGCAUUCUGCAUGUGAAAGCUGUUUAGCUGCUUGUGAAAAUAAAGAAAACUAUUCUACACCAAGCCAAAAAACGGCUUUUACACUCACAGGGCCCCAGGUUGCUGAUCCACCAACUGCAAGCAAUGCAAGAAGGAUAUAUGAAAGAGAAUUAAAACCAUUGACAGAACUGUCAGAUAAUACCUUCAGAAGCAUUAGUAGGAAAGAGCUGCAAUGUAGCAACAUCUUCCCUGAAGGCAGCUACAACGCUUCUGCUGAUCUCUUUGAUGCAAGUGUAAGAGAGGUAGCAAAACCUGUAGAAUUCUUAAAUAAAUCAUGUAAUUCUUUAAUACAGGAAGAUACACUGACAGAGACGGUCACAGCUGAAUCAGUGCUUUCUCCUGGAGGUGCUCCUUGCAGCAGUUCAAAACUGAGCUCAUCCUUACACAGGUCCCCUCAUGCUUUUAGCAAGCACAGCACACCUGUAACUUACUCCUUUUGCGAUUCAGAGUGCAGUUCGGUUUGUGCUCAGGACUUUGUUCCUUAUUCACAGUCAACUCCUAUGACAAAACCACUGCAGAAACAAUGGUCUGCUGGGGAAAGAAGCUCUUUUAUCACCACCUUCACCCCUAAAAAUCCCACUAAAAACCAUUCCAAAUGCAAGCGAUCCAGGUCUUCCUUUCAGAACACUCUGCUGCAGCAGCUUACCGGCAAGUUGGUGAAACGUGGGAGACCAAGGAACAGGAAAGACAAAGAAAGUGGUAGCUCUGCUUCCCAGCAGUUUCUUAACAGCCAACUGCCUGCCAGCUUGGAGGAGUGGAUCACUCCAUCUUCAAACAAAGGGCUGAAACCAACUGCAUCUUCAAAUUUAAAAACUGUUAGCUGGGCUGCUGACUUACAAUCUGCCUGUGGGCACACUGGCAGGAACCCUAUUUCUGAAAGCAGAAAGAACAGUGAAAGUGAUGACAAUCUCAUCCAAAAUAAGAAAAUAAGCCUUGGGGAUAAACCCAGGAUUCUAACAUCUCCUUUAUCUGCAAGUGUCACCAAGACCUUAUUUUUAAAUGAAACUGAAAAGGAUCCUGAAGUCCUGAAAACGUGUUCCCCUUCAGAAGGCAGGACUCACCUCUCAGGUCUUCAGUAUCCUCAACACAAAACAGCUGCUUUUAGGAUCGUUGAACAGAGAAAUCUUGGAUCUGCUGCUUGUAAGUGUGUAAGUCAGGUCCUGCAGAAGGAUGUGGGAAUCUGGUGGCACAGGAUCUAAGCAGCCUGAAAAUGCUGACAUUUUGUAGUGAGUGAGUGCUUUAAGGUCCUAGUGUGACCUGGGUAGGUGGAGGGGAUGCACCACACUUAUAGAACCAGAAACAGACAUAAAAGUACUUGCUGUGACUUUUUCUUCUGAGGUAUAAAAUGAAUAUGAACCAUUUACACUGUGACUGGUGACAGGGAGGGGUUACUUGGUUCCUUCUCAGCUGCAAGGUGGAUGCUUUUAUCUUCCUAGGUUUGAGGCCUCAUACAAUUUCUACAGCACCUGCUUAAGCUUCCCUCUUUGUUCAGAAGAGUUUUUCAGGAAUAAGGGCAUGUACUUUAACUACCUCAUUCCUUAUGCGUGAUUUUUAGUGUGGAGAACACAGAACCUACAGGUAAACUUUCUCAGUUUCUCAGUCUCUAGCCUAAGUUCUGCACUUUCUAAUCAAAUAUUUUUCCCUUUCAGGGAUGGCAGGGAGAACGGAAUCAAACAAGCUUCUCCUGUGGAUGAGCAGGGUAUAAAUAAGGUACAGCCUCUCCUGCCAAGGGUGCAGAUGUGCUGAGGCUGCAGGCAUUCCUGUAGGCCGACCCAAGAAAAUCUUACCAUGGUUAUGCAGCAGGGGUGCACAGGUAAAUUCCUUCUAUAAAGAAGCUUUUCCAAGUCAGCAUUGGUUGGUUUGGUUAUUAUUUUUUUUUCCCCUCCUUAUUUACUGUUGAAAUCUAGGCACAAAAAGAUUUGCCUGAAAGGACAUGGAGCACAGCUCUGGAGAUCACUGAGAGACCUAAUCUCGUCUUGCUCUCUCCCCAGCAAGUUACUCAAGCACACCACAAAAGUUCUGGUUGUUCCUGCAACAGCAGAUGGCAGUGGAAAGAGGCACAAGAUUUCUUCUGACAGGUCCAACCCUGCAGUCCCUGAACCCUAGACAUAAACAGAAGAAAAUGGAACAUCUUGUUAUAGCAAAGAGAGAGACAGAGCAAAAUUAGACAUCAGAAUUUUUAACAAUGUAUAAUUGAUAAACUGAUGAUGAUUUUAAGCUGAGAGAGGGGAAAUUUAGGUUAGAUACGCAGGAAGAAUUCUUUACCACAAGAGUGGUGAGACACUGGCACAGGUUGCCCAGAGAAGCUGUGGAUGCCUUAUCCCCAGAAGUGAGGCCAGGUUUGAUGCGGCUCUGAGCAACCUGGUCUGAUGGAAGGUGGCCCUGCCCAUGGCAGGAGGAUUGGAACAAGAUCUUGGAAGUCCCUUCCAACCCAAAACCAUUCUGUGGUUCUGUGACCAUGGUAACCUGUGCAUGGAGUCACUUUCAAGUGUGGUGCCAGUGACAGCACUGUUGCAGAACAUGGCAGGGCUCUGAUGUGAAGGACACAGAGCUCCCUAUGCAAGGCCUCCUGGCACAGCCAGAGGGACAGGCGGUAAGAGCAGAAGUUGUAAGGGCUUUGCAAGCUGCUGCUGAGUUGUCCAGCUGAGCUUUACCCAGCAAAUCAGUGCACCAAAACCACACCAGGGCUACUUCUAUCAAGGUAGGGCAGGGCUCCAGGAUGAGGCCAAGUGAAAAGGUCUGGACUUGUGCCUGCAUUUACCAAGUGCUGUGCCUAUUGAAAAGAUUUUAUGUAUUGAAAAUAAAAAUCCUACUUGAUGAACUCUUUGGGCAAGUGGAAAAGGAAUAAGAAAUGUUACCUGCCUGGAAAUUAUAAAUCUGUAUAUAUAGCUUAUGUAGAAGAAAUGAAGUGAAAGACAGCAUUACUCAUACUCAAAUCAUUGAGCAGUUAUCUCAUAUAGAUAUCUCAUAUCUCAUAUAUCUUAUAGGGUACUGCAGUUAUCAUUGGCUCUUUAAACACUCCCUUGUGUUGAACUGGACAGAUACCCACUCUGUCACCAGGAAUUAGAACUGAUCUGAGUGAGACACCAGAGACUUGAUGAAGCUAGCUAUGAAACAGUGCCAGAGCUUCUACAUCAUGUACCUGACAGCAUCUUGACAUGAACUGUUUGGUCCAGCAUGAGUGAUUUUUUUUCAGCAGACAAUUCAUUCACAUCCUACGUUCAAAGGGACCUGGCUCCCAUGGGCAGCAGCUCUACAUGUGCUCUUCUUGUGAGGUCUCAGUGGUGCAAGAGCCUCAAUAUGCUCAGCCCAAGCAGAAAAUCUUUAGUAGCCAUUUGUUUGCUGGUCUAAUGUUAAAUCACGUCAAUUGAAUGUGUUGUAUUUAAGGCAACUUUGCUUUGCAGUCCAAACCAAAAACCAAACAAAUGAAAGACCUUAAAGACCAAGUGGAAAGGAUUAAACAUUUAUUUACAUACAGAUACACAUGUAAGCAAUUUCUAAGUAUAAAAAGAACAUUACAAAUAAACGUGAAGCAUCAUACAUUCAUCAUCCUGGUCAUCCAAAACACAUUCCUUUCUCAAGCCCACCGUACCACACUUGACCACAAGAACUUAAAGACACAAGCCAAAUGCUUCUGACAGUGAAUGGUUCACAGUUUGGUGAUUUGCUAACACCUAUACCCUCCCCAAAGACAGCAUUACCCCACCAACGAGAUCAAUUGUCUGACCAGAUGUAGUGCAUUUUUUCCACUGAAAUGGUUGUGCUUGAUCAACAAAACCCACAUCCUCUCCUCAUCCUUCUGGCCAAAUGUUUAGGAAUCAGGGUUCUUGCUAAAAUUCUGUACAUUGUGCUACAUUCACAAUUGUUGGGGAAAAGACAGCAGACCUUUGUGGGAAAGACUCCAACACAGAAAAUUCCUUUAAUGCUUUGACUUCCCUGGCAUGGAAAUCACAAACAAAAUGCUGCUGUUAGUGCUUAAGCAGAUUUUUAAACUACAAUUCAAACUACAGUUGAUGGCAUAAAAUAUACUUUGUUCAUGAUGUAAAAGAAAUUACGUGCUUCAGUGUUGAUUUUAUAGUAAUCAAAGCUGAGGGUAAUUCAGGUUUUCUCCUGAGGAAAUGAAGAUGCCUUUGUAGCAUCUCUAAAAAUUAUCAUCGCUUUCAGGAAAGAGGAAAUGUUUUAGAUUCAAAAGUCUAAGGUAAUGCAGAGCACGACAAACUUGUCAGUUAGAUAACAUUACAAAGGGAAACAAGCCAGUAAACAUAAAAUUAAAAUGCCUACUCAAAGUAUUAAUGUAUUCAAAUGAGAGCUGGGUGAGUCUUUCUGUACAGAUCAAAAGCAGUUGGAAAAAAAUCUCAUGAUCUGCAAAUUCACAGAACAGCCAAAUAUGUGCAACAGAACAGAGUGAAGUGGAAAUAAAAGAGCAGAAAGAGCCUUGUCCCAUAUUGACAGCUGAGUGACUGCAGCUGCUCCAAUCUCAGGAUUUUGGUGGGUUUUUUCCCUUUUGUAAACAGCUGUGGAGAAUAAAAUGGAUGUGACA